rnacentral:miRNA from 1 species
AUACAGCCAUAGCUGUGGCAA